CCAAGCUACACAGGCAUCCAUUGGUCCGCACACAGUCGCAGCAACAACAGCACCUCCUCCACAACAAAUCUCGCAAAUAAUAAAAUCUUCAUCAGCGACACGCUCGACUUUAACAAGAAGGAUGAUAACGACGAAGGUUAAGACAAAUGCAACAAAUACGAGUUGGACGAAUCCAGUAGAACUGUUUAGAAGAUGCAUUUACCAUAAAAGACGCCGGUAACACUAAGAUAAUAGACGAAUACAGCGGAUAUUUAUGUUCUGAUUAGAGAAUGCGAUCUCAGUAGGAGCCAAGGACUACCGCUUAUUCUCGUCCGCAAUAGAUGAUAACACCCUGGACUUAGAAUUUAUAAUCAAUUAGUCUGCAUGGACAAUAGACUAUUAGUAGGAGCUGCUCAAGAACUAUACUUACUCCCGCAAUAUAUGCGAAUACUCAGGAUUUAGAAUUUAAGAGCAAUUUGUCUUGAUUAUCAUGAACUGCCUAUAUCCAUUUGCAAUAGACGCGUACAUCCUGAAUAAGAAUUUUCAAGCAAUUUGUCUAUUACAAACAUCAUCCUCAAUAACAUAUGAUGAUUAAUUAGGAUAUUAUGAGAUGUGUGACGAUAACUAUUAAGAAUUCCGAAUAUUUCAGAUGAGAAGAGAAAGACUAUCACCAAGUUUGCACGUCUAACAAAAUCUUCAACUUUGCAAGUAAUAACUUGCAUUUGGAGCGGAUUUGAGGGAAUUAUCCAGUUGAAAAUGAUUGAUAGAUGUUAAAAAGUCGUUUUAGAAACGUCCACAUAACUAUUACAAAACAAUAUCUCAGAACCACAACGCCGCAAUCUUAUUAGAAUUCAAUAAAAAGAUCAGUUCUUCAUCUACCAGAAUACUCACAAGACGAAUUAUUACUUUCGAAUGCUAUUUGAAGAGAUUCCAUUAAUUAUAGUUAAGAGUUGCAGAAAUAUGAAAAAGAUAAUUUACUUCAAACAUUUUACGAAUGACGAAUUGUA